UUCGCCCUUAGAGUUUGAUCCUGGCUCAGGACGAACGCUGGCGGCGCGCCUAACACAUGCAAGUCGAACGGAGCUUAGAGAGCUUGCUUUUUAAGCUUAAUGGCGAACGGGUGAGUAACGCGUGAGUAACCUGCCCUAGAGUGGGGGACAACAGUUGGAAACGACUGCUAAUACCGCAUAAGCCCACGGUGCCGCAUGACACUGAGGGAAAAGGAUUUAUUCGCUUUAGGAUGGACUCGCGUCCAAUUAGCUAGUUGGUGAGGUAACGGCCCACCAAGGCGACGAUUGGUAGCCGGACUGAGAGGUUGAACGGCCACAUUGGGACUGAGACACGGCCCAGACUCCUACGGGAGGCAGCAGUGGGGGAUAUUGCACAAUGGGGGAAACCCUGAUGCAGCGACGCCGCGUGGAGGAAGAAGGUUUUCGGAUUGUAAACUCCUGUCGUUAGGGACGAUAAUGACGGUACCUAACAAGAAAGCACCGGCUAACUACGUGCCAGCAGCCGCGGUAAAACGUAGGGUGCAAGCGUUGUCCGGAAUUACUGGGUGUAAAGGGAGCGCAGGCGGGAAGACAAGUUGGAAGUGAAAACCAUGGGCUCAACCCAUGAAUUGCUUUCAAAACUGUUUUUCUUGAGUAGUGCAGAGGUAGAUGGAAUUCCCGGUGUAGCGGUGGAAUGCGUAGAUAUCGGGAGGAACACCAGUGGCGAAGGCGGUCUACUGGGCACCAACUGACGCUGAGGCUCGAAAGCAUGGGUAGCAAACAGGAUUAGAUACCCUGGUAGUCCAUGCCGUAAACGAUGAUUACUAGGUGUUGGGGGAUUGACCCCCUCAGUGCCGCAGUUAACACAAUAAGUAAUCCACCUGGGGAGUACGACCGCAAGGUUGAAACUCAAAGGAAUUGACGGGGGCCCGCACAAGCAGUGGAGUAUGUGGUUUAAUUCGAAGCAACGCGAAGAACCUUACCAGGUCUUGACAUCCGAUGCAUAGCACAGAGAUGUGUGAAAUCCUUCGGGACAUCGAGACAGGUGGUGCAUGGUUGUCGUCAGCUCGUGUCGUGAGAUGUUGGGUUAAGUCCCGCAACGAGCGCAACCCUUAUUGCCAGUUACUACGUUAAGAGGACUCUGGCGAGACUGCCGUUGACAAAACGGAGGAAGGUGGGGAUGACGUCAAAUCAUCAUGCCCUUUAUGACCUGGGCUACACACGUACUACAAUGGCGUUAAACAAAGAGAAGCAAGACCGCGAGGUGGAGCAAAACUCAGAAACAACGUCCCAGUUCGGACUGCAGGCUGCAACUCGCCUGCACGAAGUCGGAAUUGCUAGUAAUCGCAGAUCAGCAUGCUGCGGUGAAUACGUUCCCGGGCCUUGCACUCACCGCCCGUCA
rnacentral:rRNA from 1 species